rnacentral:rRNA from 1 species
CGAAUCCUAAAAAGCUUGUCGUAGUCCGGAUUGGAGUCUGCAACUCGACUCCAUGAAGUCGGAAUCGCUAGUAAUCGCGAAUCGGCAUGUCGCGGUGAAUACGUUCCCGGGCCUUGUACACACCGCCCGUCACACCAUGGGAGUGGGUUGCACCAGAAGUAGAUAGUCUAACCUUAGGGGGGACGUUUACCAUCGGUGUGAUUCAUGAUCUGGGGUGAAGUCGUAACAAGGUAACCGUA